GACGAACCGUGCGAACGUUGUUCGGAAUCACUGGGCUUAAAGCGCGUGUAGGCGGGACGGCACGUCUGUCGCUGAAAUCCCCCGGCUUAACCGGGGAACGGGCGCGGAUACGACCGUCCUGGAGGGGCGUAGGGGGACCUGGAACUUCCGGUGGAGCGGUGAAAUGCGUUGAGAUCGGAAGGAACGCCCGUGGCGAAAGCGAGGUCCUGGACGCCUACUGACGCUGAGACGCGAAAGCCAGGGGAGCGAACGGG
rnacentral:rRNA from 1 species